rnacentral:rRNA from 1 species
GCGGUAAAAGCUCAAAUUUGAAAUCUGGUACUUUCAGUGCCCGAGUUGUAAUUUGUAGAAUUUGUCUUUGAUUAGGUCCUUGUCUAUGUUCCUUGGAACAGGACGUCAUAGAGGGUGAGAAUCCCGUUUGGCGAGGAUACCUUUUCUCUGUAAGACUUUUUCGAAGAGUCGAGUUGUUUGGGAAUGCAGCUCAAAGUGGGUGGUAAAUUCCAUCUAAAGCUAAAUAUUGGCGAGAGACCGAUAGCGAACAAGUACAGUGAUGGAAAGAUGAAAAGAACUUUGAAAAGAGAGUGAAAAAGUACGUGAAAUUGUUGAAAGGGAAGGGCAUUUGAUCAGACAUGGUGUUUUUUGCAUGCACUCGCCUCUCGUGGGCUUGGGCCUCUCAAAAAUUUCACUGGGCCAACAUCAAUUCUGGCAGCAGGAUAAAUCAUUAAGAAUGUAGCUACUUCGGUAGUGUUAUAGCUUUUUGGAAUACUGUUAGCCGGGAUUGAGGACUGCGC